CAAUUUAGAGCUUGAAUAAGCAUUUUAUUUACAUUAAAAAGAUAAUUUAAAAAAUUUAAAUUGA
rnacentral:tRNA from 1 species